GCUGGAAAAGCCAGAGUGUUACUAAAUUCUGCGCUUCUCUAACUUGACCCUCCUUCUUGACUGCGCUGUGCAAGUCUGCAAAGCCUCACCCGUUUCCCAGAACCUUUCUAAUAUUAAUACCUCUAGCCCAAACAUCUCCUGCAUUCUGCCACGGGAGCUUCCAUGGAUAAAUACAGGGAAGCAGGCUGGAGCUGCCACUGACAGCUAACCACACAAGACUCCAGACCAAUCAGAGUACGACAGUCAACAGAAGAGAGUGAGGUUGUGACAAGUCUAACCAGGAGGACAGCAGUCAUGUAUGGAUGUGAGAGCUGAACCAUAAAGAAAGCUGAGCACCAAACAAU